rnacentral:rRNA from 1 species
GCCAGUAGUCAUAUCAUCCUGCAACUCACAAGUUACAACCCACUAAAGCUCAUCAGGUGUGAGCCUAGUCAGUACCUGGAUGGGAGACCUCCUGGGAAAACUAAGGUUAUUGUUGGAA